CGGUUAAGUUAGAAAGGGCGCACGGUGGAUGCCUUGGCACUAGGAGCCGAUGAAGGACGGGACGAACACCGAUAUGCUUCGGGGAGCUGUAAGCAAGCUUUGAUCCGGAGAUUUCCGAAUGGGGAAACCCACCACUCGUAAUGGAGUGGUAUCCAUAUCUGAAUACAUAGGAUAUGAGAAGGCAGACCCGGGGAACUGAAACAUCUAAGUACCCGGAGGAAGAGAAAGCAAAUGCGAUUCCCUGAGUAGCGGCGAGCGAAACGGGACCAGCCCAAACCAAGAGGCUUGCCUCUUGGGGUUGUAGGACACUCUGUACGGAGUUACAAAGGAACGAGGUAGAUGAAGAGGUCUGGAAAGGCCCGCCAUAGAAGGUAACAGCCCUGUAGUCAAAACUUCGUUCCUCCUGAGUGGAUCCUGAGUACGGCGGAACACGUGAAAUUCCGUCGGAAUCCGGGAGGACCAUCUCCCAAGGCUAAAUACUCCCUAGUGACCGAUAGUGAACCAGUACCGUGAGGGAAAGGUGAAAAGCACCCCGGAAGGGGAGUGAAAGAGAUCCUGAAACCGUGUGCCUACAAGUAGUCAGAGCCCGUUAACGGGUGAUGGCGUGCCUUUUGUAGAAUGAACCGGCGAGUUACGAUCCCGUGCAAGGUUAAGCAGAAGAUGCGGAGCCGCAGCGAAAGCGAGUCUGAAUAGGGCGAAUUGAGUACGUGGUCGUAGACCCGAAACCAGGUGAUCUACCCAUGUCCAGGGUGAAGUUCAGGUAACACUGAAUGGAGGCCCGAACCCACGCACGUUGAAAAGUGCGGGGAUGAGGUGUGGGUAGGGGUGAAAUGCCAAUCGAACCUGGAGAUAGCUGGUUCUCUCCGAAAUAGCUUUAGGGCUAGCCUCAAGGUAAGAGUCUCGGAGGUAGAGCACUGAUUGGACUAGGGGCCCCUACCGGGUUACCGAAUUCAGUCAAACUCCGAAUGCCGAUGACUUAUCCUUGGGAGUCAGACUGCGAGUGAUAAGAUCCGUAGUCGAAAGGGAAACAGCCCAGACCGCCAGCUAAGGUCCCAAAGUAUACGUUAAGUGGAAAAGGAUGUGGAGUUGCUUAGACAACCAGGAUGUUGGCUUAGAAGCAGCCACCAUUUAAAGAGUGCGUAAUAGCUCACUGGUCGAGUGACUCUGCGCCGAAAAUGUACCGGGGCUAAACGUAUCACCGAAGCUGCGGACUGUUCUUCGAACAGUGGUAGGAGAGCGUUCUAAGGGCUGUGAAGCAAGACCGGAAGGACUUGUGGAGCGCUUAGAAGUGAGAAUGCCGGUAUGAGUAGCGAAAGAGGGGUGAGAAUCCCCUCCACCGAAUGCCUAAGGUUUCCUGAGGAAGGCUCGUCCGCUCAGGGUUAGUCGGGACCUAAGCCGAGGCCGAAAGGCGUAGGCGAUGGAUAACAGGUUGAUAUUCCUGUACCACCUCCUCACCAUUUGAGCAAUGGGGGGACGCAGGAGGAUAGGGUAAGCGCGGUAUUGGAUAUCCGCGUCCAAGCAGUUAGGCUGGGAAAUAGGCAAAUCCGUUUCCCGUGAAGGCUGAGCUGUGAUGGCGAGCGAAUUAUAGUAGCGAAGUUCCUGAUUCACACCACACCAAGAAAAGCCUCUAGCGAGGUGAGAGGUGCCCGUACCGCAAACCGACACAGGUAGGCGAGGAGAGAAUCCUAAGGUGAUCGAGAGAACUCUCGUUAAGGAACUCGGCAAAAUGACCCCGUAACUUCGGGAGAAGGGGUGCUCUGUUAGGGUGCAAGCCCGAGAGAGCCGCAGUGAAUAGGCCCAGGCGACUGUUUAGCAAAAACACAGGUCUCUGCGAAGCCGUAAGGCGAAGUAUAGGGGCUGACGCCUGCCCGGUGCUGGAAGGUUAAGAGGAGCGCUUAGCGUAAGCGAAGGUGCGAAUUGAAGCCCCAGUAAACGGCGGCCGUAACUAUAACGGUCCUAAGGUAGCGAAAUUCCUUGUCGGGUAAGUUCCGACCCGCACGAAAGGCGCAACGAUCUGGGCACUGUCUCAACGAGAGACUCGGUGAAAUUAUAGUACCUGUGAAGAUGCAGGUUACCCGCGACAGGACGGAAAGACCCCGUGGAGCUUUACUGCAGCCUGAUAUUGAAUGUUGGUACAGCUUGUACAGGAUAGGUAGGAGCCUUGGAAACCGGAGCGCCAGCUUCGGUGGAGGCAUCGGUGGGAUACUACCCUGGCUGUAUUGACCUUCUAACCCGCCGCCCUUAUCGGGCGGGGAGACAGUGUCAGGUGGGCAGUUUGACUGGGGCGGUCGCCUCCUAAAAGGUAACGGAGGCGCCCAAAGGUUCCCUCAGAAUGGUUGGAAAUCAUUCGCAGAGUGUAAAGGCACAAGGGAGCUUGACUGCGAGACCUACAAGUCGAGCAGGGACGAAAGUCGGGCUUAGUGAUCCGGUGGUUCCGCAUGGAAGGGCCAUCGCUCAACGGAUAAAAGCUACCCCGGGGAUAACAGGCUUAUCUCCCCAAGAGUCCACAUCGACGGGGAGGUUUGGCACCUCGAUGUCGGCUCAUCGCAUCCUGGGGCUGUAGUCGGUCCCAAGGGUUGGGCUGUUCGCCCAUUAAAGCGGUACGCGAGCUGGGUUCAGAACGUCGUGAGACAGUUCGGUCCCUAUCCGUCGCGGGCGCAGGAAAUUUGAGAGGAGCUGUCCUUAGUACGAGAGGACCGGGAUGGACGCACCGCUGGUGUACCAGUUGUUCUGCCAAGGGCAUCGCUGGGUAGCUAUGUGCGGACGGGAUAAGUGCUGAAAGCAUCUAAGCAUGAAGCCCCCCUCAAGAUGAGAUUUCCCAUUCCGCAAGGAAGUAAGAUCCCUGAAAGAUGAUCAGGUUGAUAGGUCUGAGGUGGAAGUGUGGCGACACAUGGAGCUGACAGAUACUAAUCGAUCGAGGACUUAACCAAUUU
rnacentral:rRNA from 1 species